GCCGCUGUAGCUCAGUUGGUUAGAGCGCUUGACUGUGGAUCAAGAGGUCGGAGGUUCGAGACCCCCCAGCGGUACCA
rnacentral:tRNA from 1 species